rnacentral:rRNA from 1 species
CUAUCACUUGAUCUUUGGGAGUGAGGGCAUGGGUGCUAAGGUCCAUGUCCGAAAGAGGAACAACUCAGACCACCAGCUAAGGUCCCGAAAUAAGGGCUAAGUUGAAUAAACGAAGUAAAACUGCAAAGACAGCUAGGAUGUUGGCUUGGAAGCAGCCAUUCAUUUAAAGAGUGCGUAACAGCUCACUAGUCGAGGAGUUUUGCAUGGAUAAUAAUCGGGCAUAAGCCCUUUACCGAAGCUGUGGAUGUCGUAAGACAUGGUAGGGGAGCAUUCCGGCGGCGACGAAGGCCGUCCUCGAGGACGACUGGAGCUUUCGGAAAAGCAAAUGUAGGUAUAAGUAACGAUAAAGGGGGCGUGAAACCCCCUCGCCAUAAGACUAAGGAUUCCUGAUCAACGCUAAUCGGAUCAGGGUAAGUCGGGCCCUAAGGCGCAGCCGAACGGCGUAGCCGAUGGAAGAAACGGUAAAGAUUCCGUUACUGGAUAUAGGAGCGAUGUGGAGACGGAGAAGUGACACACCCGCCUGCCGACGGAAGCGCAGGUUAAAGGAAGUAGGUAAACGCCGGGUAGGCAAAUCCGCCUGGCGUGCCGAAGCUGACAGUAUCGAGAGCCCCCGGGCAAUCGAAUAGCGGUGGUAAUCAGGCUCCCAAGAAAAUCCGCUAAGCAUAUUCUAUAUUCACCCGUACCCCAAACGGACACACGUAGUCGGGUAGAAUAUACCAAGGCGCUCGAAAGACUCACGGUUAAGGAACUAGGCAAAUUGACCCUGUAACCUCGGGAAAAAGGGUCCCCAGUAAGAUGGGGCGCAGAGAAUAGGUCCAGGCAACUGUUUAACAAAAACACAGGGCUGUGCAAAAUUUCAAGAUGAAGUAUACAGCCUGACACCUGCCCGGUGCCGGAAGGUUAAGAGGAGAGCUUAUCGCAAGAGAAGGCUUGAAUUGAAGCCCCGGUAAACGGCGGCCGUAACUAUAACGGUCCUAAGGUAGCGAAAUUCCUUGUCGGGGAAGUUCCGACCUGCACGAAUGGUGUAAUGAUCUGGACACUGUCUCAACCGUGACUUCGGUGAAAUUGUAGUAUCGGUGAAGAUGCCGAUUACCCGCAACGGGACGAAAAGACCCCGUGAACCUUUACUGCAACUUAGCAUUGCGUUUGGGCAUUUGAUGUGUAGGAUAGUCCGGAGGCUACGAGCCGGCGACGCCAGUCGUCGGGGAGCCGCUGUUGAAAUACGGACCUUCGAAUGUUUGAGCGCUAACUCGCAGGAGCGAGGACACUGUUUGGUGGGUAGUUUGACUGGGGUGGUCG